rnacentral:lncRNA from 1 species
UAAUAAGGAGGCAGUGAUGAUGGAAAAGGUGGGAGCGGUGGCAGUGAUUUAUGGUAAUAAGGAGGUAGUGAUGAUGGAAAAGGUGGGAGCGGUGGCCGUGAUUUAUAGUAAUAAGGAGGUAGUGAUGAUGGAAAAGGUGGGGAUGCAAAAGUAUUAGGAUUGUAAGGCUCGUCUUCAGCAGCUACAUUAGCGGCAAUCAAGCACAAAGCCAAGACACAAAUCAGGUGAGGCCAAAAAUUGGCCAUUUCCAGAACACGAGAAAAUUUCACUCCUACAACUCAAGAACUUCUAUUUCUUAGAACAGAAGGGAUUUUGUGAAUGAUGCUUCAAGGUAGAGGCUCAGAGUUUAUAUAGUCAUCCUUUCCAUAAUUCUUUCAUUUGUUUAAUUAGUAGUUGUUGAAGCCUCCAAUCUUUAACAAGUCUACAACUAAAUGGUAUUCCCCUAUUUUCUAUGUGUUACCUGCACAUCUGUCCAUGAAAAGUCAAGAAGAUUAGUAAACAUAUAUAUACAAGAGUGCAUUUCAGUUUUGGUUGUUGGGAGCCUAGAAGCUUCCCCAUAUAUUAUGUCAAAUGUGACUGCCAUCUUUAAGAAUUUACCAUGGAAAACUCAACAUAAAAUAUUACUAUGAAGCAUGUCUACCAAGCAAAAAGCUAGGGCUAUUAGAUCUCCUUCUACCAUAACUUCCUGUUUUUCGAAAAUUUGUCAUACAUUGAAACCUUUUUCAAAACAACAAAAAGAUUUAAUAUUGCAAAUAAUUUACGGGCAUUAAUUAGGAAGGUAAUGCACUAAUAAACCUAAAAUCAAUGCCAAUUUUUCUAGAAAGGCAUCGUUGUCUUUCAAUAACUUCUUAAGCUAGCUAUUUAAUAUUAUAGGACGACUAGGUCUAUGAAUGAGAUCAUCAUAUGCAUUUUCAAUAACAAGUAAUGGACCCUUGUUUUUCCAUUGGAUUUGAGUAACGAUGAAAGUUCUUUAGGAAAAGGAAAGAAACAUAAUUAAUCUCUUAAAUUUCUUCUUCAUGCAUGUUGCUAGAUAAAGGAUUGAUGGGGCAAGCAACAAAGGGAGAUUAUUUAAAGAGAUUUUGUAAUAACUACUUUGGAAUUGGGAGUUGUAGAAAGUGGAAGAGAAAAUGUUCAAGGAAUAGUUCAUUCCUCAAAUGUUCAUCCAUUCCUUUGUAUAGGGUUUUGCCUUUAAAUAUCAACAAAACUGCUCAAGGUGUAUUUGAUAGUAAUUUUAGAAAGUAUUUUUAACCUUUAUAAUACUUAAAAAAAAAAAAAAUUGUUAAGUGUCAAAAAUAUUAAAAACACAUCUUAAAAUCACUACUAAACGGACUCUUAAAAGUUCAUAUGAAAUUAAUCAAAUUAGAUAAGGACAGGUUCUAACCUGUGGACAUAUAUGUAGAACUAAGGUCUUAGAACCGGUGAUGAUGAGAUUGCAAUCACAACUCACAACCAAAUAUCAUACAUACUUGAAAGAAACAAAUUGGAAGGAAAUCUAUUUCAAUAUGAAUUAUAAAGUGUUUUUGUGGUUAAUAUAAAAAAUAAUGACACUACAUGCAACUUACAUAUGUACUUGCUUUAUAUGCUAACGACAUUAUUUAUAUGCUAGAUAUUAACUAGACACCAUCAAUCAAGUCUAUAUAUAUAUAUAUAUUAUUAUUUAUAUCUUUAUACUUUGAUCUCAUUUGUUUAUUUCUUCGUUCAACAACACAAAUCUCAUCAUGCAUGUUUAAUGAUCCGGAUUUAGAGCUCAAUAGAUAUCACUAGGGUAGCUUAGGAUUUUCUUACCUAAAAUUACUAUAAGAAGUACUCAAGGAAAAAGAAAAUGAAUGAUCUAAAAGUGGAUCCCUUGCAACACUUCAAGGAGUCGAGAUUUGUACUUGGUUGGGCUUGGAAUUCUAAUAAUCCUAGUUGGCUGGGCACUUGGCUUUCUAAUAAUUCUAGUUGUCGCAUUAACGGAAACUGUUUGUAACUCAACAGUAUGGACAAUUGAAAUGUUUAUGGAGUAUUGUUAAUCAAAGCUGCCAUGGGAAAAUCUUUUGUUUGAAGCCCUUCACUGGAAUAUUCAAUAAAUAUAGCUAGCGCCACUUUCCCUCAGAAAUAAUUCCCCCCAAUACCUUAAAUGGUAUGCUUAAUUUCUUAUUCACUUUUACACACCUAUUCAUCUUAAUUACCAAAUGCACCCACUUUCUGUUUUUUUUUUCUUUUAACUCAUUAAUGUUUUAAAAAAAAUUGGUAUUAAUCAAAUAUUAAUUUUAAAAUUUUUAAUUAUUUUAAAAAAUUAUCAUAUCGGUUAAGAAAUUUAAUGCAUUAGCUCUCACUUGAUUUGAAAUAUGUUUGUCUAAUGAUAGAACUUGAAAAUUAUAUAGUUACACGCACAUAAAAAAUUGGCCAAGCCAUUGUAGACCGGUUUUGUUCCAACAAAUUCUAGUAUUAAUUGGCUCGAAUCAAGUUCUAAAUGAUUUUUAAAAUUUAUUAAACUUAUUAAGGAAUCCAAUGCAUCAAAUUGGAUUUAGAAGAUGACACAUCUCAAAGCAAAACAAUAGGGAAAGGUAUAAUAAAUCACAAAUUCAAUGUUAUAAAUAUCAAAAAUUAAACUGGAAUAAUCUCAAAUGACAAAAAUUAAGAAGAUUCUAUAGAUAAGGAAAUAAAAGCAAUAACAAAACAUAAUACAUUGAAACUAAAAUCCUUUCCAAAAGAGAAAAAGGCAAUUGGAGGAAAAUGGGUAAACAAUGAGUCAAAUCCUAUUUUUUGAAAACAACCAAAGGUUUAUAAAAUAAUAAUAAAUAAAUAAAUAAAAUGAAAUAAAAUAAAAUAAAUAAGAUCUCCUUUAAGACUAAAUGAUUCCAUUGAAUUGAGUAUGAUUGUGUGUGUGAUAGCAUCAACAGUACUAAGAAUAUCAAUGACCUUUUGGCAACCAACCUUCAAAAUAUAAAGGGGAAAGAUGUGCAAAGAAGAAUGUAAAAGGAGAAAUAUUAGAGAGACACAAAGUAAGAUUAGUGGUUAAGGGUUACAAGCAUCAACUUGUAAACAACAAAUUAGCAAUUGCACUAUCAAAAAAUCCAAUUUUAUAUGUUUGAAACAAGAUAUCAAUACAAAAUAUCAUUUUAUUAGAGAGUGCAUAAUGAAGAAGAAAGUAUAAUUAAAUUUGCAAAAUCUCAAGAUUAAAUUGCAAAUAUUUUUACCAAACCUCUCAAGUUUAAAAAUUUUAGAAAGUUAAGUAUAUUACUUGGAGUUACAAAUAAAGUUUAAGGGGGAUAUUGGAAAGUUAAACUUGAUUUAGAAAGUUUCCAAAACUUAGAACUAGAUUUAGUCUCCACAAUUCAAAGAUAAUAUUUUAUUUUCAAUGGUUGUUUAUAUUUGAGUAGUCAAGUCCUAGAAGGUUAAUUUCUAUAUUUUGUUAUUAGAAUUUUCUAUUUUGUUAAGUGUAAAUAUCUAUAAAUAAGAUUUUAUGUAAUAUUUGAAUAAGAAAGUGUGAAGAUGAAUCUCACCUAUGGAUAACAGCUAGAGGGGGCUAAAUAGAUGUUUUUUAAAACAACUUAAGAUGGUAUCUCACAAAUGCUUACAAAUCCCUUAUUUUUCUCAAAUGUUUUGGUUUGUUUUUUUUUAUCUUAUUAAAAAAAAAACAAAUCAUAAGUAAUAAUGGAUGCAUCAACACUCUCUCAUUAAGUGAGUCAAUGCAAAUCACAUACAAAUGAAUCAACACUCCUCAACUAUAAUGUAUAAGACAUUAUAUGCAUCGACACAAAUCCCAUUUUCGCAUGUCCCAUGACAUUAAUAUCAAAAACUGAAAUAUACCAUAUUCUAUCAAAGCUUCAAUGGUUUAAUUUAAGCUCAUAUCUCAAUUAAACAACAAAAUAAUUCAAUAGAAAUAUCAUAAGCUAAUGAAAAACUAAUUAAAAGAUGAGGUAGAAUAGACAUAUAAGGGAAGCAGCCUAAAAUCAUGCCUAUCAUUCAAUUCUAUAUUCUGUCAUAUAGCUGUAUAUUGUAACAGUAGCAUAGAUUUAGCCUUACCGUUUCUAAAUUUGAAUCAUAUAGUUGUAUAUUGUAACGGUAGCAUCCUUAUCGUGUAUAUGUUUCUUAAACUAGCUUCUUAAUCACUUUAUAUAAUAGAGUUUCCAUCAAUAAAAUGAGUUGGAAAUUCUUCAUUGAAACUACGACAAUAUUUUUUUCUUUAUAUGGUAUCAGAGCACUGAUCUCAAAUGAGCCAUCGAUCCAAGUUAUCACCAUGCCUUCCUCCUCUGAUCAAACUCCAAACUUUAAUCUCAAUACUCAACUUCCAUCUGCAGUCGAUAAACCCCUAAUUGCUCUCAAUAUCACAACCCAAAUCAAUGAAAAAUUAACUCCCUCCACAUUUUCUCAAUGGUGUGCUCAAUUUGAAGCACUCAUUAUUGGUUACGAUUUACUCAACUAUGUUGAAGGCACCAUUCGGUGCCCUUCCUCUACUGCUACUCCUACUGAUGAGUUGCACAAAACCCAUUGGGUCCGAUAGGAUAAACUUAUCUUGAGUGCUAUUCUAGCCUCCACAUCUUCUUCAAUCACACCACUCAUUGCUACGUCAAAGACCUCCCAUGAAGCUUGGAAAAAAUUAAAACCUCUAUAUGCUACCCGAUCAAGAACACAUGCUAUGCAAUUAAAGGAGGAACUCACCUUAAUCCAGCGAGGAGAUCGGUCGAUUAUAGAAUGCAUCCAUCCUCUAAAGUCCUUGGCCAAUGAAAUAACCAUUAUUGAUCAUUCAAUUUCGGAUGAUGACCUAACCCUUUGUGUGUUGAAUGGCUUAGGUCUAGAUUUUCGAGAGAUUGUUGUGCAUAUCUGAGCUCGAGAAUCAUCACUGGCUUUUGAGGAGUUGCAUGAUCUUUUGGUUGGACACGAGGCAUACUUAUGACGCAUAGGAGUUGCGAUGCAGAACCUAGUUGCUUCUGCAAAUUUCAUAAAGAUGACGAAGUAGUCUCCACAAUGAGGAAGUCACCCGUGGUCUUUCAAGCAAACUAGCUUUCACCAUGAGCCUCGAGGUUCUCAACAAAGCUGCAACUCAAAUGGAGCCCAACGUGAUGGAUGUCGCUCCAACAAUAACUCUAGGCGACCCAACAACUCCAAUUGGUGUUACCAGCCCAAAUGUCAAAUUUAUGACCAAUUGGGCCACACUGCAAAGUUCUGUCCUCAACUCCAUUCAUAGAAUGCCUCCAUCAAUUGUGCUGCAAUCUCUACUGGCAAGGACAAAAAUUGGUUACUUGAUUCGACUAUUUCUCAUAAUAUCACGGGUGAUCUUUCCAACUUAUCUAUUCACUCCGAAUAUGAUGGAAUUGACAAAGUAAUUCUCAGUAAUGGUUCAAGUUUGGUUGUCUCACACAUCGGUUUUUUGGAUUUACACUCCCCUCAUCGAAAUUUUACAUUGCAUGAUACUCUUUGUGUUCCAAAUCUUUGCAGAAAUUUAAUUUCCGUUCAUCAUCUCACCAAACAAAACAAUGUCUUGGUUGAAUUUCACCAUUUUCAUUUUCUUGUGAAGAACAAGAUCACGGGGGCAAUCCUACUAAGAAGAGCAUGUAACAAUGGCAUCUACACUUUUCCGACAUCAAUGGUGGCAUAAAAAAAUAUUGCUAAUGUGCAUGAACACAGAUGGAUGGCACAAGCGUCUUGGGAUUCCUUCUACUAAAAUUGCCCAUCAUCUUGUCAAUAAAUUUUCUCUUCCUAUGUCCUUGAACAAAAAGUUUAUCUUCAUUAUGUUCUUCAUGUUCUAUUAAUAAAGCACAUCAACAACCACUUUGUGUCACUAGUCUCCAAAGUCAUGAGCCACUUGACCUUAUUUACACGGAUGUGUGGGGUCCCGCUAGUUAUACUGGAAUUGAUGGAUCACGAUAUUACCUUAUUUUUGUUGAUCAUUAUACAAAAUAUAUAUGAUUUUAUCCAAUGGUCACAAAAUCCAAUGUUUCUAAUAUUUUCCCGCAUUUCAAAAAGUUUGUUGAAACUUGUUUUUAAAAAUCUAUUAAAACACUUUACUUCAAAAAUGGUGGUGAGUUUAUCGCUUUAAAAUCUUAUUUAUUACUUCAUGGCAUAACUCACUACACCACUGCUCCACACACUCAACAACAAAAUGGUGUCUUUGAACGUUAUCACUGUCAUCUCGUUGAAACGAACCUUACACUUCUUCAUGAUGCAAAUCUUGCUUUCUCAUAUUGGCCCUAUGCUUUUCAAACAACUUCUUAUCUCAUAAAUAAACAACCAAUGCCUUUCCUCCAAGAAAAAAAUACCUUUUGAAGCCCUUUUUGGUCAACCACCCAAUUACUUGAAAUUAAAAAAAUUUGGGUGCAUUUGUUAGCCCCUCACACGAGCCUAUAAUUCAAAUAAAAUGCAGCCCAAAUCCAAAGUCUGCAUUUUUCUCGGUUAUUCACCAACCCAAAACGCAUACAAGUGUUUUGAACCUCAAACAAAAAAUUCUUUCUCUCACGGCAUGUGUUAUUUGAUGAAAAUCUAACAUAUUCCAGUCUAUCCUAAACUGCGUCUUCCAUAACAACCCAACCCACUCGAGAAUCUCACAUUUUUUUUCAUUUUUUCUUCUUCAAUUCUCAGCAGGCUGUCGUGUCUCCAUCACAGUUGUCCGGUACACCUAUCUCAUCGUUGUCUCCGGAAGGUCCGCCUACCAUUGUUGCGUCUUCCUUAGGUGAUUUCGGACCCUCUGCUCCUUUCUUUCAUGAUUGCUUGCAAACCCUAGAUCACAACACCACCCACUUGAAUUUUCCUUUACAUGACACUCAGACUGGUCCUUCUUUAAAUUUGCAAUCACGCUCUCAUGAUCAGCAUCUAGGUCUAGCUAAUACUUCCAAUUUUCCAACCCCUACCGAAACCAAUAAUUUUCCCCAACGCACUCAUACCAUGACCAUAAGAUCAAUGUACCAAAUCUUCAAACCCAAACAACUCCACACUGUGUCAAAAUAUCCUCUCUCCUCGACCAUUGAACCAACCAAUGUGAGCCAAGCCAUUUCUCAACCUCAUUGGCGUGAGGUCAUGUCUAAUGAGCUUACUGCUCUAAUGAAACAUAGGACUUGGGACAUAGUUUUACCACCUUCAAACUGUAAACCCGUGGGUUGUAAAUGGGUAUUUUGAGUAAAAAGAAAAGCUGAUGGGUCAGUGGACAGGUUCAAAGUCUGUCUAGUUGCUAAGGGCUAUAAUCAACGUCUUGGUGUUGAUUACAAAGACACUUUUAGUCUUGUCAUCAAACCAACAACUAUUAGAUUUGUCCUAUCUAUUGUAGUCAUGAAUGGAUGGGUUUUGAGGCAACUGAAUAUCAACAAUGCUUUUCUAAAUGGUGAAUUAUCUGAGACUGUGUUUAUGGCAUAACCCCCAGGGUUCAAAGAUUUGUCCAAACCUAAUCAUGUUUGCAAGUUAAAAAAAUGCCAUCUAUGGGCUUAAAUAAGCCCCGCGAGCUUGGUACACAAUGCUAAAAAAUGCCAUUCUUCAGUUGGGUUUUCAUAAUUCCAAAGUGGAUUCCUCUCUCUUCAUUUACAACCAUGGUUCCAAUCUUUAUUAUUUCUACAGGGAAUAAUUUCAUACUUAUGGCCACUAUUAUGAAGCAGCUGGGUGACAUGUUUUCUCUCAAAGAUAUGGGUUCUCUUCAUUUUUUCUUAGGAAUUGAAGUAAUUCCUACUCGGGCAGGAUUAUUCCUCUCACAACAUAAAUAUGUUCAUGAACUUUUAGCCCACACCAGUAUGAGUAGUGCAAAAGAUGUCUCCAUACCUCUCUCUACCACUCAAUCUCUUCAACUGGUUGAUGGCAUUGUUGCUGUGGACAACUCAGAGUUCUGUAAAAUCAUUGGCAGCCUUCAAUACCUUUCUUUGACGCAUCCAGAUAUCUCAUUUGCAGUAAAAAAAACUCUCGCAAUUUAUGCACAAGCCGACUACAAAUCACUGGACAGAAACCAAACGACUCAUUCGAUACUUAAAACAAACCAUUUUUUUAUGGUAUUCAAAUCAACAAAGCUGGAACUCCAGUAUUAAGAACAUACUCAGAUGUAGAUUGGGCUGGAAAUGUGGACGACUGCACGUCCACCUCUGCUUCUAUCAAUUUUUUGGGAUCUAACCAAAUUUCUUGGAGCUCAAAGAAACAAAGAGCAGUUGCAAGAUCCUCAAUAGAAGUUGAAUACCGAGACUAGCAACUGCGGCUUCCGAGACAAUGUGGAUGUCUACUCUCUUCAAAGAACUAGCAUUUCCAAUCAAAGAAUCUCCCCAAUUGUUAUGUGACAACCUUGGAGCCACACAUCUCAGUUUUAACUCGGUUAAUCAUUCACGCAUGAAACACAUUCAAAUUGACCUUCACUUUGUGCGUGACUUAGUGCAAAAAGGAAGCAUCCAAGUCAGCCAUGUACAUACUCAAGACCAAUUAGCUUAUCUGUUAGCAAAGUCGUUGUCCAAACAACGCACAGAAUUGUUACGCAACAACAUUGUCCUUACCGAUGGAAGCCCUAUCUUGCAGGGGUGUAUAAGGGAAACAUCCUAAAAUCAUGCCUAUCAUUCAAUUCUAUAUUCUGUCAUAUAGUUGUAUAUUGUAACAGUAGCAUCCUUACCGUGUAUAAGUUUCCUAAACUAGCUUCUCAAUCACUCUAUAUAACAGAGUUUCUAUCAAUAAAAUGAGUGGGAAAUUCUUCAUUGAAACUACGACAAUAUUUGUUUCUCUAUAAGAGAAACGGUGACACCAAUAUUUUAGCAUGGAAAACCUAAAAAAAGGAGAAAAAACCAUAGACCUCUAGCGAUCAAAUCAUUCACCAUGAAGAAAAUUAACUAAGUACAAGGAUUUACCUAACCCAAACUUUCAAUCCUCUCUUGGUCCACUUGCCUAAAAUCUUCAGACUUUAGCAACCCACUUUCUUCUUCUAGAACACACUUCAAAUCCAUACUAAGUUUGAUCUUGACCUCUUCUUAAAUCCACAUAAGAAGAUAUUUGAGUUUUUACCCCAAAUAAGAUGAAUAUAAGCGUAAAGAUGAAACUCACACUGAAUCAACCUAUUUUGAAAGAAAUUUUUUCACUUAAAAAUGAAUUUCAACUCAAACCCAUAAAAUUUUCAUUCAAACCAAACACCUCAAAAACAGGUAAAAGAAUAUGAAGCUCAAGAGAGGCCACCUAUCUCUUUCAGCCCGCCCUUCCUCUUAUAGAAAUAGAGCUUAAAUAUUAGGGUUUUAAAACCCAUUAAACGGAUGAGAUUUGUUUGGAAAAUAAUGAAGAUUCAUAGUGUGAUCGAAACCUGAUCACAAGACUGAAAAAAUCUGGGUUCAACAAAAACUGUUACCCUUCAGUUUUAUGUUGUGGUUGAGUACUACUCGAUAAUAGUGAGUGAUAUCAUUUAUGGAGGACCAUCACAUGAUGGUCCAAAUGAGAAGUAGAUAUGAUACUAAAAAUUGAUGUAAGGUAAUGUCCCGUCCCAAGACCCACUCCAAGGGCAUGAAGGUCAUUUCACACCUCAAACCCAAAGGCUUAAAGUGUAACCUGACCCAAACAAUUAUCUUAUAACUGGAAGUUACCAAUUACCAAAUACCUGUUUAGAGUAGCAAAAUAAAAUUCUAAAAUCUUCAAAACUUAACUUUAAAACUAAGCAUCCAUCAACCAAAAUCCAUUUUCCAAAUAAAUUGCAAACUCAAACAAUUCAAGUGCUAACAAAAAUUUUCAUAAUCUCCAAAUCUCAACUUCAAACUAUCAAAAAAAAUUUAAAAGUUCAAUAUCUAAAUAGCUUCCAAAAACCAAAUAAUCCAAAUGAACAUAAACUUAUAAGCUAACAAUGUCCAAAAAUAACAUCCUAAGCAAAAUCCUAAUGAUGACCAUUCCCCGACCUAGCCAUCACUCAUCGCCCGAACUAAGUGUACCUGAAAAAUUAUCAACAAAAGAGAAUGAGCUCAAAGCCCAAUAAGGAACAUUAUUAUAGUCCAUGGAUCAAAUAUUUCAAGUUCACUUGUAAAAUAGGAGAUAUUAUAACUAAUUAUUUUCAUAAACCUUUGAGUCAGUUUUGUCAAUACAUUCAAAACUUUUAAUUGAACACUUUCAUUUCUGAUUCAAACAUUUUCAUAUCAAAUUCAGUCAAAACAUUCAAAUCAUUUAUUUACUUUGGUCAUCAAACAUUAAAUGAUGUCCAAUUAGGUGAGACUUUUCAAAUAAGUGGCUAGCCUCAAAUUGUUCAUUUAAGGUGGACGAAACCAAACACUACUAGUACUAGUAACCUCUAACCAAACCCCUAGAGGUUGGGGUCCAAAUCAAUUACAUUCCCCACCAAGAAAUGUAAAUGUCAACUAUUAUAUUUCGUCGACAAGGGUCAAACAAACCAAAAUCAAACACUUAUUUCAAUUAUUCAAAUUUGCAAAACAUAAUAUCUCCAUAUUUCUCUGUUGUGAACAAAAUGUAAGGUUCUAACAUACUUUUCAUGCAAAACAUAUUUGAUUCAUGCAUAAAACGAAUAAUAACUCAAAGCGUUUCCAAAUGAUGUAUAUAAAAAUUUGUUUCUAAAAAAAAAAAAAAACCUGCAUUAAUUUCCCUUACCUCAAAAGAAGUCUUCAAAAACUUAGGAGAAAAAUAAUUCUUAAAAAUCUACUCCUCACCUAACAAAGUAUAAGAGAAAUAACCAUUAUUAUUUAUCUAAAAUUAUAGGUUUGACAAUCCUAAAAGGUAUUCAAAUUAAUGUUUUUAAUUAUAAAAGAUAAUUUAAUCUAUUCCUAUUUUAGAAAAAUUAAUAAAUUUCUAAUUCAUAUAAAACUUAAAUUUUAUUUUCAAUUUAUUUCUUAGGAUACAACAUAAUUUAAUUAAACUACAAUUUAUUCUACUAAUUAAAUUUUAUGCCACUUAUUAACUUACACUCAUCAUUAGUAUAAUAAUAUUGAUAACUUCUAUUCUCUUUCUUUCAAUUUUUUUUUUCCACUAAACAUAAAUUGUAACCCUAACAAUUCUCCAUUAUUGCUAACAUAAUAAUGUAAAGAUAUUUAUUAACCACCAAACACCAUCCGUACACAUCUUCCUUUAUUAUUAAUAUUACUAUUUUUUUUCUUUUAAAAAAAAUAAAAAAUUCCUCCAGUGCAAGUGUGUUCUUUUUUUUUCCCCUAAUGUUUUCUAAUCCCUUAACCCACAUAUAAUAAUAUAUUUAUUUACUCAUUUAUUUAUUUAUUUUUAAAAAAAUCAUUACUUAGAUCUAUUCAUCUAAAAAAUUUUGAAUUUCCCUUAUUUCAACAAUAGAACAAUCUAUAUUCCCAAUUUCAAUAUUUUGACCUAAAAGUUUUAAAUAGGUUAAGUCUAGCCUAAAUUGAAAUCUUUCAAAGAAAUUUUUUUUUUUUUCAAAAACUUAAGAUUUCCCAAUUUUUAAUAAUAAAACCACCAAUAAUCCUAAAUUUCUAAUAUUUUGAUAUUAAAACGAAUUAAAAAAAAAACUAACCCUAAUCUAAAUUAAAAAAAUAAAAUUCAAAGAAUAACUAACGUGUUUAGAACUAACUAUUGAAUAUAAUAUAUUAAUUUAAGAUUAGAAUCUUACCUAGAAAAAAAACCUGAAUUUCAACUUUAAAUCUCUAACCCUUGAGCCCUACGAACUCCAAUUCUCUACUUCUAGUUAAUAGGGUUUUCUGAACGAAGAAGAAAAGAGGAAAAAUCCAAUUUAUACCUAGGAUUUUUAAUUGUAAAAUGACUCUUUCACCCUCAAUGAAUUUAAUUAAUUAUUUAAUUACUUUAUAAAUUACUAGUUUGCCCCUAGAUUAAAUUUUGGGGUGUUACAGGUAAUCAAGUAAAAGUUAACGAGUUGGAUCGAAACAGGUUCUGACUUUCUGUAGCUGCAUUUAGAAAUGAAGGUUUUACAGGUAAAGAUGUUUCAGACACUUCUUCACCAAAACCCAUGUGUAAAAGGAACAGAUUGAACCGAAAGCUACUUCAUUAUGGUUUUGUGGAGAGUUGCUUUUCUUGAGAAGUUCUAUAUAGGCUUUCAGUUACUUGUGACCUAUUGUGCUUCAAAUCAAUCAAUUUGAUUUUCGUGCCAGAAUGAAAGCAUUGAUUAUACUAGAAGUUCAUGUUCAAGUUUAAAGUAAAGUAAAUAUGCGAAGACUGUUUUUUGUUAUCAAACCUAAUUCCCUUUUUUUUCCUCCAUUUUUUUUUUUCUCAGCUUCUGAGUUCAUGAAAUUACAGUUACAUGGAAUUUGGCCCACAGGAAAUCUCUUUUAGAAAAUCUUAUCCGGUUUACUUCACAAUUUUUUUUUUAAAUGUGAAAAUUAAGAACAAUUGCAUGCUGUUGAUCAAGACAUCCAUGUUUAGCAAUUCAUCCUCUCAUUGAAAUAAAUGUAAAUGUUCCAUUUAUUUAAAAGUUUGCGAAUCUUAAGUAGAUGGCAAACAGAUCAAUAAGGUCCAAUAACAGAACAAAUUAAUGGCUAGUAUAUACUGAAAGAGAACUCAAGGGUAUAAAAUAAAAACAAAAUGAUCCAAACUGCAAAGCAUCAUGGCCAUGGCAAGGUCCUUAUUGUUGAACUGGAUGUCUUUCUUUGAUGUUAAUAGUCGUUGUACCCCCAAAAGAUCUUCCUGUUCCUUCUGAUAUCAAUUAUUCAUUCUAUCUAUCCUAUAAUCUGCACGGAAAACAGAGGAAUGUUAAAUACUGUAUGAAUGAUGAAAAUGAGAAAUGUGGUCUGUAUUAUUAUAUAUACUUACAUGAAACUAGAAGAGGCAAUUCAUUUAGUAAUAUGGUGGAGGAGGUGAAGGAGAGGAAGGGGGUGGUGACUUGUGGUGGUAGACUGGUGGUUGGGAUGAUGGAGAAGGUAGUGGUGGGGACUUAUAGUAAUAAGGAGGUUGAGGAGAUGGUGAUGGAGGAGGAGGUAAUUUAUAGUCGUAGUGAGGAGGGGGUGAUGGUGAAGGUAGUGGUGGUGACUUGUAGUAAUACCACGGAGGAAGAGAUGGAGAGGGAGCCAGAGGUGACAUCGGUGGUAGUGAUUUAUAGUAAUAAGGAGGCAGUGAUGAUGGAAAAGGUGGGAGCGGUGGCAGUGAUGAUGGAAAAGGUGGGAGCGGUGGCCGUGAUUUAUAGUAAUAAGGAGGUAGUGAUGAUGGAAAAGGUGGGGAUGCAAAAGUAUUAGGAUUGUGAG